rnacentral:rRNA from 1 species
GUGAGGAAUAUUGCGCAAUGGAGGCAACUCUGACGCAGCCAUGCCGCGUGCAGGAAGAAGGCGCUACGCGUUGUAAACUGCUUUUAACCGGGAAGAAACCCCAGGACGUGUCCUGGGUUGACGGUACCGGAGGAAUAAGCACCGGCUAACUUCGUGCCAGCAGCCGCGGUAAUACGAAGGGUGCAAGCGUUAUCCGGAUUCAUUGGGUUUAAAGGGUGCGUAGGCGGAUCGUUAAGUCAGUGGUGAAAUCCUGCAGCUUAACUGUAGACUUGCCAUUGAUACUGGCGCUCUUGAGUGCGCUUGAAGUGGGCGGAAUGUGCCGUGUAGCGGUGAAAUGCUUAGAUAUGGCACAGAACACCAAUUGCGAAGGCAGCUCACUAAGGCGAUACUGACGCUGAGGCACGAAAGCGUGGGGAUCGAACAGGAUUAGAAACCCCGGUAGUCC